rnacentral:lncRNA from 1 species
AAAUUAGGUUCCGGGCAGAACAAACUAUGUCGAGCCAAGAGCAUCUUCAUUACUAUAGAAGACGGCGGAUGUCAAAAUCCACAGCCGAUCAUGUCCUUCAAGUCGCACGUUGCUUUCUACCACAUCGUUUCAAACGAAGUUUUACCAUAACAUUCCUCUAAUUGAAAUUUCAAAGCGGUAUGGAAUUGAUUCAAUAUAAAAUCAUGAAUAGUCAUUGGUUCAACCGGUAUAUAAUAGUCCAUACUUUCUAUCUACGGUACGGAUAAAUAAGUAUUUAUCCGGAUAAGGGUCAGCAAGGAUCGAAUUUAUUUAAUUUAACCCCAUAUUCUAUCAUAUGAAUGAAAAUAUUUAUUUAUAUUUAUAAAUAAGACGAAUAAACGAGUUUGCUUAAGACUUAUUAUUUACAUCUUCAACAGAUUGUUCGAGACGAUCAAUCAUGAAGGAUCCAGUUUUCUCGAACAAAUAAACUAUAAACCUCCAAAAGAGGUUUCUAUAGUAGAAUACUAAUGAUUUCCAAUCCCGAAAUCAAAUCAAUUAGUAACCAAAAAAGCUAUUCCAAUGACCCGAAAAAGUCGAAAUUUUGAUAAUAUAGAUUUCUCAUACUUCUUCCAGUACCAAUUCCGGUACCAAUCAAAAAAAAAUGAAGUAAAAAN